rnacentral:lncRNA from 1 species
GUUCUGAUUAUUAUUAUUAGGUCUUUCAACCUUUCAGUUGAAAGACCUAUUGUUUUUGUUCUGAUUAUUAUUUUUUUUUUUCUUCCGCCAAAUUUUUUUUCCUUCACUGUUUUUUUGUUUCGCAAGAUGUCGCUUAGAUAUAUGGUAUAUGAUAUCGAACAGUUACUGCGCUUCUGAAACUGACACCGCGUAACAAAAACCUUCCUUGUAAGAUUAUCUCCCCAAACACUGUUUUUCUUGUGCCACUACUACUUCGCAACCGUAUAAGAAACCGACAAAUUUAUUUUUCCAAAUUGCUCGUUAUAUCCUUAGGAUUUCUGUUCAUUUCAACGGAAGCUAUCCGGAGACUCCAUAUGAGAGUUAUUCCCCCCUUUUAUAUAUGAUAUAGUGAUAUGCAUUUUCUAACUGGUAAACUUAGUGAUAGAGACCUAGGGUCUUUGAUUUAAAUCCUUGGUCCAAAAAAAAUGAAAAUUAGUCAAGGUCAAAGGUCAAGGUCAAAUUCUUAAUUUUGAUUUUGGCUUAUUUUCACUUUUUUCAUUAACCGUAUAAGAUAUCGACAAUUUUUUUUUUACAAAAUUGUUAGUUGCGACAUGUCGUAACUUAUAAAUUUUGUUGCGAAGGGUGGCGUAAACAAUAAAAGGGGAGUUUUCGCCCCUCUUAUAUUAAGAAUUAUGCGUAAAGUGAUUUUUACUCAUGAACCAUACAUAUUAAGAACUAGUGUCUUUUUAUUUAGAUGUUUAGUCUAUGACCUUGAAAUUGAGGUCAAGGUCAUAGGUUGAUUGGACGUUCUAGAUUUUGACCUUUGCUUAAAAUUCAUAUUUAUACAUCAUUAAAGCCAUAGGAACUACAUUUUCAAACUGAAUUUUUAAUAUUUUCAAUAUCUAAAAUAGAUCCUUAUUUGUUGAAAGACCUUCAAUUGUUCUUUGAACAAUUGGUUUUUAAUUAUUAUUAUUAUUAUUUUUUUUUUUUUUCUUCCGCCAUACUUUUUUUUUCCUUCGCUGUUUUUUUGUUUCACAAGAUGUCGCUUAGAUAUUUGGUAUAUAAAUAUCGAACAGUUUAAUGCGCUUCUGAAACUGACACCGCGUAACAAAAACCUUUACCUUGUAAGAGUUAUCUCCCCAAACACUGUUUUUCUUGUGGCCACUACUACUU